rnacentral:lncRNA from 1 species
GGGGAGAGACAGCGGGGUGGGGUGGGAGCAGUCGCUGCUGUGAACUCGCUGGAGCCCAGACUCACGCAACUAAGGGGCAGCAGUGGGAAGAGAAACGGAGGGGUGGUGGGGGAGCUGGCGCUCUGAACGCCUGUUCCUUCUGUUCAGACUAGUCUUUGUUUAUUUUGCAGCGCAGGAAGGCGGAAGGGAAGGCGGAGACCGGCAAGAGAGGGGAGAAGGCCCGGGGAAGACGCUCGGGACCAAGAUGCGGGGCCCGGGUGCGAGCAGCUGAACCUCUCGGCCCCCAGGCGUGGUGACCUGGGUGGCGACGCUCGUGGAGGCCGAGGAGCUUCUGGACCGGCGCUUCGGGGGACCAAGUGGAGAGGCUGCUGGAGUUGUCGCCUGAGUCCUCCCUUAGUUCUUCGCGCCGGCCUCGCCCACGGCUCCGGGUCCCAGCCGCCACUGCAGUCUCCGCAGCACCGAGCGGGGCUCCACCGACUCGCGACCUCCAGCCUCCGCCUCAAGGGCAGGGAGCGCGGCUGGGUCUCUGGAAAGCCAUUUUUAAAUCACUGCCUCUGCUGCCCCCAUGUGAGGUCGGAGUGUCCUCCCCCGUCUUUGCUUUCAGGUUCUUUCAGGUUCCUUUGGGCAAACCCGCAGCUAAGAGUCCAGCUUGUGAACUUGAACCUGAACUUGCUGAAGAAGCUCCCGGCGGCCCCCUGCUGUCUGCGGCCUUUGUUUGAGGGAGAGGCUGGGGUCACCCGGUUGGGCCGCAUUUCCGGGGCCGUCACCUGUCGGGCUGCCAGGCCGCGCGUACCUUGUCCCAUCGGGGGCUCUGCUCUGCCCCCUGCGCUGAUGACGCGGGUGGAAGGGAGGUAUCAGGGGCACUCUGGGGAGCUGUACCUGGCGGGCACCCCCCAGCUGCUCUCCGUGGGGUACGACACCGAGACCUGGUUGGGCUGCAAGGAGACCGACUGGGAUUCCCGGGCUGGUGGCCGGGGAGACGAAGGCGGGGGGUGAGAGGCAGGAACCCAGGAGGCCCCAGGCCCAGCGCUGUGGGGCUGCUGUUGUCGUUCUGCGUGGAGGUCUGGCCAAACUGGCUUUUGCCCCGAGUGAGGAAUUCCUGCUCUUUUUUGGUUUUGGUAAGAGGUCGCUAUUCACAGAGGGGGCGGGGUUCGUCCCCUCCAGGCGAGUACGGGGCUGGCGGGCGCAGUGCUGCCUUUCUGCUCUGUCUCUUGAUCCCGCUUAGGAUCUUUGUGGCUCCUCUGAGUCUUCUUAGAGAGGCCGUGAAAGAUGGGAAAGGCAGGUUGCUGAAACGCUGCUGCUCGGGGCUGGCAGAGACCCUGGUAUAGGGAAGGCGCACCACUGUGGGUCAGAUCAGCUGACAGUGGGGGUUUUAGGUGAUGGGGUAACCUUACAGUUCGGAUCUCUUAGAACCCAGAAGCAGGUAGGCGAUCGCUGCUUCAUCACACUUCACAGGGAGUCCUGGAUCUUUCCUGUCCGUAACCCAUGGACGCCAUGAUUCAGUAUGGCGGAGGUCCGGGGCUUAAGUUCCUGUUCAUGCUUCCUAAUCAUUCAUGGAUCCAUCACAAUGUGCUCUGAAGGGCCUCUCUUGCUGGGAUUGAGAAGGAUACAUUUUUUGAGCAGGUUUUUAUACUCAAUGGACAUGUAGAAGGGAAUAUAUUCUACUCAGUUCCCCUCCUGCAGCUCCUUGAAAUUCUGUCCAUCAAAAGCAGGGAUCUGCUGACCAGAGGUGACUGCCACAGAAGGUAUCCAGUUUGUAAAAGCUGAAUUUGUUGCUGAAGCCAGAAUUUGCAAUCUUGAUGUUUGUGUUAACAUCCAAGAGCGUGUUUUCUGCCUUUAAAUCUCUGUGGACAAUACGUUUCUGGUGACAGCUUGCACAGCAGACACUUUUGGUAGAAUUUGCUUCAGUCCUUUUUUUUUCUUUCCUGCUGCCAUGAGCAGGUAUUCACAAACUUCUCCUCCUGGCUAGUGUGCUUCAUGACAAAGCAAAGAGAUUCCUCAAUAUCGAUCACAGCAAAUGUUUCACUAUGUUGGGGUGAUCCGAGCCUUCAUGGUUCCUACUUUGUGGAUGGUGUCUGGAGGAGAUCUGCUGAGUCUCAUCAAUGAACUUCACAGCUGCUGCUUUCCCAGUUAAGAGGUCCCAGGCCAACCUUACCUUAGCCAGGUUGCCCUUGACGAUGGUCUCAAGGAUCCUAGCUGCCAGUAAGGGUCCCUUCUCAGCAGAGAUGGCUGAGAGGCCCUGUGGCAUGUGAGACUUACUGCUGGGCUUGGAGUCAAGGUGUCCCAGGUCAGCUUAAUUUCGGGAAAAACUGGUAAGACGCUUGGUUCAAAUCACUUGAAAAGAAAAUCACUUGCAUAGUUCACCUGAAGAAUGGAUCUCUAUAAUGGAAUUAAAGCACAAUGCUGGACAAAAAGUAAGAAAAAGCAACAAACUGAAAGGAAAAAUUGAGUAAAAAGAAUAAAGAACUAGAACUGGCAACCUCAGCCAAGCCAGGGAAUUACAUACAUCUUGGAAUUCCAAAGCAAUGCUUCCUUAUGAGGGCAUAGGAAGAAAUAAAUCUAAUAACAAGGCUGGGAUUAAUUCACGUGGUUUUCUCACAUUUUGGUCUCAAGAACUUUUUACUCUAAAACUAAUUAUUGAGGACCCCAAAGAGCUUUUUAUGUGGGUUAUAGUUAUCAGUAUUUACUUUAUUGGAAAUUAAAACCUGUAGGAUGUUUCAGUGGUCUUUUCUAGUUUGAAGGGUUUAAUAAUUUUUGGCUUUUAAAGAGCCCAUAAUCAAUUAAAAUAUUUUAUUUUCCUUUAAAUUGUAAAUGAUUGGUGUCAUAAUGAUGCUACAACUUAACUGGCAUUACAAUACUAUACAAAUACGUUCUAUUGUAUAAGUCACAAUAAGGUACAUUAUUAACUCUAUAACAUUUAGGGGAAGAUAGCUGUUAUCAUAUUAUUUAAAGUUUUGCCUAGUUUCUUUGUAGUAGACUUAUCUUUUCCAGGAGCCAGAGAACCCGCUAUAUCAGUUUCAGUAUCUUUAAAUGUAGAGAUUGCAGCUGUGUGUUGAGAAAGCACGUUUCACUUAGCAUGGGAUGGGGACUUCGAGGUACUGGAUAUGUCACUGGCACCUCAGGGGAGGAAACCAAGAUGCCCCUAUAUGAUUUUAAACAUGGUUUAUUAAAGCGUGAUACAGAAAAGUGCACAAAUUGUCCACCUACAGCUUGGUGACUGUUCACAAAUUGAACUCAUCUAACUAGCCUCCAGAAUAAGAAACAGGCCUUUACACACCCCCACCAGCCUCCCAAUCCCCUUUUCAGUCACCUUCUCUGCAGUGAUAACCACUAUUCUAUAUUCUGACAGCAUAGUUUCACUUGUUUUUUAACUUCACAUAAAUGGGAUCAGACAGUAUUGAAUCCUUUGUGUCUGCUUCCUUCACUCAAUAUUUUCCUGAGAUUUUUCUAUAUUGUUUAUUCUAAAUGCCCAUUGUACGACUGUAACACAAUUUGUUUAUCCAUUUUACUGUUCUUGGGCAUUUGGGUAGUUCUCACUGUGGAUGCUAAGAAGAGUGUUGCUAUAAACAUUCAGGUCUUUUGGUAAGCAUAUACCUGGCUUUCUGUUGGCUAUUUAUACCUAGAAAUAGAGUUGCUGGCUUAUAAGGUAUGCAUAUUUUUAGUUUUAGUAGACAUUGCAGUUUGUACCAAUUCACCCACCCACCAAUGUGAAUAUCUAAUAUUGCCUGCCUGUCUGUACGUGUGUACUGGUAUAGCAUUGUGGUUUUAAUUUGCAUUUUCCAGUGCCUAAUGAAAUAAAGCACCUUUUAAUAUGCU